CAUAUUCAAUACAAUCACCAUUGUCCGUCGCUUCCGUUUCGUAAUCCGUCUCGCGGACGCUCGUGCGUCAUCGGGAUUCGUCGUAAUCGUAUAUGGAUUGCAACGACCCCGUGUAUCACUCCGCCGCGGUUGCCAUGGGAACAGUUUACACGGAACUACUUCCGGAAGUUCGCUUGUUAAUUUCGAUCCGUCGAAUUUGCCGGCGGCGGACAAACGUUUCUGCUCGCGGGUCACGGUCGAUCUUCCGCGCGCGAUUCCGAAUUUUCGACGUGCGAUCGCUGAAAUUCCACCGAAACACGUUUCUCCGAGUCCAGUCGAGCGAGUCGGAUCAAGUGGAAGCCGCUGACAGCGAGCUAUCGAUUGGCCGUCGCCGAACCGUUGGUAGCUCCUUUGGAAUCGUCCGCUGCACCUACGUGGAAAUUCACUUUUCACGAUGUUUAGCCGUGACCGAGAUCAGAGUAGGAAUCAUCGUGGCAGCGUUGUCAGAGCAAGUUCUGCUAUCAGAGGAGGCACUGACAAUGCACGUGGACAGAUAGCUAGCCGUUUUGCCACACAGAGUAGAGGAAGCGCUAGUAACGUACGAGUCGGACUAAAGGGGAAACAGCCCGGAGGCGCCCUAAGGAAAGUCAACUGGGAUCUCCGCAUGUUGGAACCAAUACGCAAGGACUUUUACAUUGAGCAUCCAUCGGUUAGAAACAGAUCUAAUGAAGAAGUGAGCCAAUUUCGAGAGAGUGCAGAGAUAACUGUAAAGGGUGAUAAUGUUCCUAAUCCUAUACAGUUUUUUGAAGAGGGAAACUUUCCACCCUACGUAAUGGAGGGCAUUCGUAGACAGGGAUACUCGCAGCCCACUCCUAUUCAAGCGCAAGGAUGGCCUAUUGCCCUUAGCGGCAGAGAUCUUGUCGCGAUUGCUCAGACGGGCUCCGGCAAGACACUUGGAUAUAUCUUGCCUGCAAUCGUGCAUAUCAUACAUCAACCGCAUCUGAGCAGUGGAGACGGACCAAUUGUCCUGAUACUAGCUCCAACCAGAGAAUUAGCUCAGCAGAUUCAAGAGGUGGCCAAUUGCUUCGGGGAGUCCGCGGCUGUAAGGAACUCGUGUAUCUUCGGUGGCGCUCCGAAGGGACCGCAGGCGCACGAUCUGGAGAGAGGCAUUGAGAUAUGCAUUGCCACGCCAGGUAGACUCAUUGAUUUCCUGGAAAGAGGGACCACGAAUUUACGUAGGUGUACGUACUUGGUGCUCGACGAAGCCGAUCGAAUGUUAGACAUGGGAUUCGAGCCACAAAUACGAAAGAUAAUCGAGCAGAUACGUCCCGAUCGGCAAGUGCUGAUGUGGUCGGCGACGUGGCCUAAGGAAGUCCGCGCGCUCGCGGAGGACUUUUUAACGGAUUACGCUCACCUGAACAUCGGCUCCCUGACUCUGUCGGCCAAUCACAACAUCACGCAGAUCAUCGAUGUCUGCCAAGAGUACGAGAAGGACUCGAAGCUGUGCAGGCUGCUGCAAGAGAUCGGCACCGAGAAGGAGAACAAGACCAUCAUAUUCGUGGAGACGAAGCGUAAGGUGGACGACAUCACGAGGAAUAUCAGGCGCGACGGGUGGCAAGCCGUGAGUAUCCACGGUGACAAGAAUCAGCAGGAGCGGGAUCACGUGUUACAGGAGUUCCGCAGCGGAAGGGCGCCGAUUCUAGUCGCGACCGACGUGGCUGCCAGAGGCCUGGAGGCACAGAGUACCCUAACUCAGCGCGGUGUACUGCCAGUAUUGGGCAGACACAGUGACUAUUUCAUUUUCCUUUGCUUAUGUUAUCUUGUCAUAAUUUCCAAAUGGAGUGAUAGAUUCACGUGCGCUUUGUUAUCCUUUGCUUUGACUUUUUCAUUAUUAUUACGAAAUAGCGAAAUAAAUUUUCUAACGACUGCUAAAACACGCCAGGUGACGUGAGGAAAUUACAAUAUGCAUUUGCGGUAUUUAUUGCGGUAUUAAAUAAUCAAACGGCUUUCUUUUAGUAAAGGUUUGUGCGCGUAAAAUGAGAGCGUAUACAGUGUGUAAACACAGUGUGUCAAUUUACGACUGCGAUACGAAACGCAGAAGAUGUAAUGGUUAAACUUUUGAUCUAGUGCCUCUAACUUUAAGGAAUUGUUACAUAGUGCCUAUUAAAACUAAUGCACUCAGGCUUAAACCCUAAAUUGCUGCCUCUAUCCCAUAAAACCAGACACAACCGCUGUGUCUGUCUAAUCUCUAGGGCACCAGUAUAUUACCAUAAGAAAGCAACCAGAAUUGCCCCACUUUAAAAGCAAACGGGGUCGUUCUUGCUGAUUUCACGUCGGAAUUUCCAAGCGAAAGUUUGUUUGUGAGCUGUGGGAUGCAUACGUUUUAUCA
rnacentral:misc_RNA from 1 species